AAUAGAAGGNCAGUCGACGAACUUAAUACCUUGCUUGCAGGUAAGCGGUUAGUGGCGGACUGGUGAGUAACACGCUAAGGAACCUGCCUAUUAGAGAGGAAUACCAGUGAGAAAUCACUGCUAAUACCUCAUAUGCCUUGGUUAUCGCAUGAUAAUAGAGGGAAAGGAGCAAUCCACUAAUAGAUGGCCUUGCGCCUGAUUAACUAGUUGGUGAGAUAAAAGCCCACCAAGGUAACGAUCAGUAGCCGAACUGAGAGGUUGAACGGCCACAUUGGGACUGAGAUACGGCCCAGACUCCUACGGGAGGCAGCAGUCGGGAAUAUUGCGCAAUGGAGGAAACUCUGACGCAGUGACGCCGCGUAUAGGGAGAAGGUUUUCGGAUUGUAAACUAUUGUCGAUAGGGAAGAAAAAAGACUGUACCUAUCAAGAAAGCUCCGGCUAACUACGUGCCAGCAGCCGCGGUAAUACGUAGGGAGCAAGCGUUAUCCGGAAUUAUUGGGUGUAAAGGGUGCGUAGACGGGAUGUCAAGUUAGUUGUGAAAUACCUCGGCUCAACUGAGGAACUGCAACUAAAACUAACAUUCUUGAGUGCAGGAGAGGAAAGUGGAAUUCCUAGUGUAGCGGUGAAAUGCGUAGAUAUUAGGAAGAACAUCGGUGGCGAAGGCGACUUUCUGGACUGUAACUGACGUUGAGGCACGAAAGUGUGGGGAGCAAACAGGAUUAGAUACCCUGGUAGUCCACACUGUAAACG
rnacentral:rRNA from 1 species